rnacentral:tRNA from 1 species
GCCCGGGUGGCGGAAUUGGCAGACGCGGGGGGCUUAAACCUCCUUGUCCGAAAGGACGUGUGGGUUCGAAUCCCACCCCGGGCA